CUAAGUUGGGCCAGUUUGAAGGUGCGAACCAAGAAUUCAAUCUGAAUCUUCCACGUGGGUGCAAGAAUGCAGCUACCUGAACCAUCACUGUUGCCUCCCAGGGUGCACAUUAGCAGACAGCUGGGUGAAAAGCAGAGCCAGCAUGCAGACCCAGACCCUUCAGUAUGAGAUGCUGGCAUUCCAAGUGGUGGAUGGAAACCAGAGGACGCAGAACCACGAUGAUGCUUAAGACCACUCUAGGCAAGGCUGCUCUCUGUGUCACUGUUCGGCCUCUUGUCAACUGCAAAACCACUUCUGCUGACUGCUGAGACAUGAAGGAGGAGAAGCAGGUGGAAGAAAAGCUUCCUGGGGAAAGAAAUGUCUCCAUGCAGGCUCCUGUACAGAACGGCGUGCAAGUCAGCCAGUCCGCUCCUUCAGUUGCACCAGGAUGCUGACACAGGAUGCUGAGUUGGGCCUACCUGUCACCAGAAGGACGAACCUCUACCAAACAACCAGCAACAG